rnacentral:lncRNA from 1 species
GGUUUCCUCAGCGUCGCAUGCGUUAACUCCAUGGUCCGCGGCGGCCUUCUCGCUCGCGGGGUGCUGUGGUUGGCCGGCGUGGUGGUUCGGGCCGUUCUGCUGCCUCUCAUCAUCGGCCGUUCUGUCGGGGUGGCCGUUCUGUAGGAUCUUCUGGUUCUGCAUGUGGCGCGUGCCGUUUAAAGGUUCUGGAUGCACGGCGGAUUUUGCGUCGCGAUCUGGUUUGUUUGCUAUUUCUUUGUUUCCCCGUUUGUUUGUGAUGGAGUUUUUCUCUACAUUGAGUGUUUUGCUGCCUUGAUUGCCUAGGGUCUUCUCUCACCGCUCGAGCUUUGGGCACGACCAGCAGAGGAAGACGACCGGCCAUCGGCAACGGAAGACGAGGUGGGCAGCCGCUCCAAGCACGAUAUCAUGUUCCAAGCUAGGUGAGUCUCCGUGGCCUCUUGCUGAUCACCGAUGAGGCCUUGCAGCGGAAUUCCAAGUGAGGUUGAUUACUUGAUUUGGCCAGCGGAUGUCCACGGAGGCGCGAGCGACGGCGAGGGCGUUCGCGUCUGGAGGUGAUGGCUGCAGGAGGCCCCCGGAGAGUGAGACUGGACGCGAUGGUGCCAGCGAUCGGCGAGGUCCCGACGGCGCGCGGCGUGGCUUGCACCGGAGCUGGCGAGGCCAUGGCGACGGUGAGCACGGGGCACGCUGACACAGCAAGGCCAUGGAGUGGCUCAUGAAACGUGUCGAUCGGUGCAGGUCGGCCGUGGGCGUUGUGCUUCGGCAAAGCUCACGUCGCUACUGCGGCGGGUAAUCUCCGUUUGCGCCGUCUGCGCAUGAUGUACGUGUUCCGGUUCACGCAGUGCAGGGAACAUGCUGUCCGUGACCUUCCUUGGCAAGCGGACGCCAAGUUCGGUUUCGGACCAUCGCCUACGUCCUGGUCCACGACGGCGCGCGGCGGCGGCGCCCUCUUCUGUAGUGUCCAAUGUUAGUGCACUGGUCUGCGCUGCCGAGGGACGUCUCCUUGUCCCACGCCGGGGAGCAUGGGCGUCCUUCCGUUCGGCCGUCACUGCAGAACGCGGUGAGGUCUCAUCUUCCCGUUUCGAUUCAUCCCAUACUGAACACCUCCAUCCUUACCUGUAUGGUUGUAUCUCAAAUUCCUCAUGCGUGAUGAAUGAUUUUAUAGGUUCGCGUAGUUUACAUUUGCUUUUUUAGUUUGGUUGAUUCCGUGUGUAAAUGGACUUGUUGGCUGCAGUAUUUACAAUUGUAGAUGUAUGUGAGCUUACCUUUGCUCUUUCCAGAUGUACACUGUUCUUUUCUAAGAAUUUCGUGAGCAAGUUUGUGGUGUUUAAUAGCGCGCUGAUGCUCUCUUAAUCCCUAGGGAAUUAGUACUUCUCAUGUUGAAGCCUAGAACUGGCAGUAAUACGAACAUAUGAAUUAUUUUCGUUCCAAUUGGCAAUAGUAGGAAAACAUUCAUUUUGAUUCACUUGAAUAAUAAAUAAUAUUAUAACUAUUUUUUCAUGAAAUUAUAACAAAAUGUUGCAACGACCGAAAAUGCAGCUUUCGAGAGGUUGUGGAAUAGCAUAAUUUUCCCAUUUAGAUUUUCUCUAGGGCCUUAGUGAAAUUCCAUUUUUCAAAACUGAAUUGUAAUUAAGAAUGUCAAAUGUAUGGUUAUAUUUAGUUUUUUCUUGAUUCUACAAAAAUAUGACAAGGGGAACGUAUUACAAUGUAUCCUAAAAUCUCACCAAAUAAUGGGUUUGAUCAUACAUUUAUACACAAGGAUAAUAAAAUGGUGCGUGCUUAUGAUUUUUUUGUCAAAGCUUUCUGGUAAUUAUUUGUGGUUUCUUAGUAGUUUUUAUGCUGUUCAAAAUUGGUUAAUGGAUGCAUGGCGCAUCAUUAGUAGAAAAAGGGUCAUCUGUCCCGGUUGGUAAGGGCCUUUUGUCCCGGUUGUUGAACCGGGACUAAAGAGUCGUUACAAAUGCCCUAGCCCUUUAGUCCCGGUUCUUACACGAACCGGGACAGAUGGGCCUCCACGUGGCCGCUGCGGCCAGCCCAG